AGUGCUAAAAUGUGCUUCUGGGGAUAGCCAAACAGGCCCUUAAAUCCUCACUAAAAGCAUACACAAACUAACGGGCUGAUAGCGGAAAGGAGAAACGGGUCGGGUAAUCUAACGAGUUUAUAUCCACCCCACUUGAUAGAAGUCAGUGCUGCCCUUUUUAAUUUCAUCGUCUGCUCGCUCUUGUUAUUGUACUGUGAAAGAUGGCAAACUCGAAACAGUUAUUUAGCAAAAUCAUAGGAAAGGUGAACAGUGCUCGAGUUAUAAGGGAACUUUGUGCAGAUGUAAACCCGAAAACCAUUGAAAGCUUCCGUUUGCUCUGCGCAGCAGAAAAAAAGUUUGGACUUUCUGGGAUACCAUCGCACCACUAUGGAUCAAGCUUUCAGCGAGGAAUCUCUGGCUCCAAGGGUCGCCAUGUAAUUCCAGGAUUCAUGUCUCAGGGAGAAGUCUUUACAAGGGGCUAUGCAUCAGGAGGUGAAGCUGUCCAGAAGGUUAAAGAGGAGAGCCUAAAGCAUGCAGGACGUGGUGUUCGUUCAGUGGCCAAUGCUGGACGAAGUAGCAGUGCAUCCGAAUUUCAAGAAAUUAUGGCAGAUUACGUUCACCAAGAAAUGACCCGAACUUGGAUCUUGGUCCUAAUGAGAUUGUUCCUGAUUAUUGCAAUCAAAGAUGUUUUCGUGUCUCUCGUUUUUUCAGACACAAAAGAUGAGGCAAGUAACGUGGAUUGAUGAAAUAAGCGAAGCAAUUGACCUGAAUUUUUUAGACGUAAAUGAGGUACAUGUGAUCUACCUUAUAAAAGUCUGUUUGUUUUAAGCUUUGUGGCACCAGCCCAGCCAGCUGGUAGCUUUAGGUUCCAGAUUGCUUGAGAAUAAAGAAUCAGCUGAUGUAAAAUGUGGAUUCUGCUUUUGUUUGCUUGGUUAUGACAUGUGCUCUGUUUGUGCAAUAACUUAAUGUCCUCAAAAUGGACAUUCUUUUGAACAAGACCCGCUUUAUAGUUUCUUUGUUUACACAA